UACUUGGCUUUCUAGGGUUCCGCGGCACCGCCGGUCUGGUCCGAGAGAAGGCCCCGCAAGAUCAUACUUGCGGCACACGGAAGGGAAAAAGCCUGGGAGAU
rnacentral:sRNA from 2 species